rnacentral:rRNA from 1 species
GGGAAAUAUUGGACAAUGGGCGCAAGCCUGAUCCAGCAAUGCCGCGUGUGUGAAGAAGGUCUUCGGAUUGUAAAGCACUUUCGACGGGGACGAUGAUGACGGUACCCGUAGAAGAAGCCCCGGCUAACUUCGUGCCAGCAGCCGCGGUAAUACGAAGGGGGCUAGCGUUGCUCGGAAUGACUGGGCGUAAAGGGCGCGUAGGCGGUAAUAUCAGUCAGAUGUGAAAUUCCUGGGCUCAACCUGGGGACUGCAUUUGAGACGGUAUAACUAGAGUUCGGAAGAGGGUCGUGGAAUUCCCAGUGUAGAGGUGAAAUUCGUAGAUAUUGGGAAGAACACCGGUGGCGAAGGCGGCGACCUGGUCCGAUACUGACGCUGAGGCGCGAAAGCGUGGGGAGCAAAC